rnacentral:rRNA from 1 species
UACAGGGGGGGCAAGCGUUGUUCGGAAUUACUGGGCGUAAAGGGCGCGUAGGCGGCCUUCUAAGUCAGACGUGAAAUCCCUCGGCUCAACCGGGGAACUGCGUCUGAGACUGGAAGGCUUGAAUCCGGGAGAGGGAUGUGGAAUUCCAGGUGUAGCGGUGAAAUGCGUAGAUAUCUGGAGGAACACCGGUGGCGAAGGCAAUCCCCUGGGCCUGCACUGACGCUCAUGCACGAAAGCGUGGGGAGCAAACAGG